rnacentral:rRNA from 1 species
GACGUAGGGUGCGAGCGUUGUCCGGAAUUAUUGGGCGUAAAGAGCUCGUAGGCGGUCUGUCGCGUCGAUCGUGAAAAACUUGGGGCUUAACUCUGAGCUUGCGGUCGAUACGGGCAUGACUGGAGUUCGGCAGGGGAGACUGGAAUUCCUGGUGUAGCGGUGAAAUGCGCAGAUAUCAGGAGGAACACCGGUGGCGAAGGCGGGUCUCUGGGCCGAUACUGACGCUGAGGAGCGAAAGCGUGGGGAGCGAACAGG